UCAGAGAGCGGCGCUCAGAGCCGGGGUGUGGGAGCCUCGCUGGGAGAAAGGAGCGGAGAGAAUUCACAAGUCCCAAAUACAGGUACUCAAUAGAGUUGCCAACUGCUGGUUGGGAAGAUGGUUAGUCAGCCGCAGAAACAAAGGUCAGGGAGGUCUGGAGCCUUCAAUAAAUCCUGCCACCAGCUUAAUAACAUCCUUCCUAUAACUGGGCGACCC